rnacentral:rRNA from 1 species
UGGGGAAUUUUGGACAAUGGGGGAAACCCUGAUCCAGCCAUCCCGCGUGUGCGAUGAAGGCCUUCGGGUUGUAAAGCACUUUUGGCAGGAAAGAAACGUCAUGGGUUAAUACCCCGUGAAACUGACGGUACCUGCAGAAUAAGCACCGGCUAACUACGUGCCAGCAGCCGCGGUAAUACGUAGGGUGCAAGCGUUAAUCGGAAUUACUGGGCGUAAAGCGUGCGCAGGCGGUUCGGAAAGAAAGAUGUGAAAUCCCAGAGCUCAACUUUGGAACUGCAUUUUUAACUGCCGGGCUAGAGUGUGUCAGAGGGAGGUGGAAUUCCGCGGGUAGCAGUGAAAUGCGUAGAUAUGCGGAGGAACACCGAUGGCGAAGGCAGCCUCCUGGGAUAACACUGACGCUCAUGCACGAAAGCGUGGGGAGCAAACAGG